rnacentral:rRNA from 1 species
CAGCAGCAGCCACGGUAAUACGGAGGGCGCGAGCGUUACCCGGAUUUACUGGGCGUAAAGGGCGUGUAGGCGGCCUGGGGCGUCCCAUGUGAAAGGCCACGGCUCAACCGUGGAGGAGCGCGGGAUACGCUCAGGCUAGAGGGUGGGAAAGGGUGGUGGAAUUCCCGGAGUAGCGGUGAAAUGCGCAGAUACCGGGAGGAACGCCGAUGGCGAAGGCAGCCACCUGGUCCACUUCUGACGCUGAGGCGCGAAAGCGUGGGGAGCAAACAGGAUUAGAUACCCCCGUAGUCCCUGUUUCUUAUAC